CGAUGAUGACCCAGGCAUGAAAGAGCCCAGAGCUCGUCGCUGGGGAGAGGCUGCGUAUGGCGUUGUGAAGGGAGAGGUGGAGGAGGGCUUUGAGCAGCGGUGUGCAGGAAUGAAUGGCUGGCAGGAGCCGGGCAGCGGUACUGCAGCUCGUCUGGCAGCUUUGCAGCUCAGUUGGGAAGUAGAAGAUGUGGCUGUGAAAGAAGAAGUCAGUUGCUGGGACGUCCCCCUGUUCUUCCCCUAGCUGUCCCCUUGCCUCAGCCUGGAUUCCCCUUGCAUUCCUGUAGGAUUCCCUUCCAUCCUCCUGGUUGUCCCUUGCUUUCCCCAAGGUUGCUCUUUCCUUUCCCAUGACAGCCCACCCAUCAUUCUCUCAAAGCCCCAAUAUCCACCCCAGUGUUUCCCCAGCAAGACCCCUAGAGACGCCCUGUAGCCCCCCACAGAGCACCAUACACCCUCUAGGACCUCCUCAGACCCGGUACGCCUCCCCUGUAGCUGGCCCAUACGCACACGGAGCCCCACAGUCCCCAGCAUCACCCCAUGUAACCCGCUGGCCUUCUUCAAGACCCCCGUGUUUCCUCUAUCUCCUCCUUCAGACCUCCUUUCCCACCUCCAAGACCCCAACCCCGGGAUCUCACCGAUUCCCACAGUCCCUGACAGGACCCCUGUCACCAUCCCAGGAACCCCAUAGCGCACGUGAGGCCCCUCCUCAGCCCCAUCCCCAUCAAGCUCUUGUACAGCCAUAGGGUGCUGGGGCAGGGGUGGCUGCUGCAGGAGAGGAAUGUGGGGCUGGAGCAGGUGCAGGGCACAGCUGUGGGUGAAAGGGAUGUGAGGGGCACUGUGGGUCCAGGAACGUAGGGGUUGUGGGGGCACGUGGGGAGCGGUUUGGGGUGAGAAUGGAGGAUGUGCGGUGGUGUUGGAGUGCACUGGUUGAUUUCUUCCUGGGAGGGGAUUGGGGUUCCCUUUGGCCCAAAGGUGGAGCCCUGAUCCAUAACCCCACGUGAGCCCCGAACGCCAUGUAACUCGGCGUGAGCCCAAGGCUCCACAUGACCCAUAACCCUGUGAGCACCGUAAGCCCAUAUGAGGCUGAGGGCAGUGAUGGGUCUGUUACUGGCUAGGUCAGGAAGUACUCUAGGGUGGCUCUGGGGCCGCUGUAGAAGAGCACUCUACAUCUGCCCCUGACCCUCAUCUAGCCCACAUCUUGGUGGGUAAGAUGGGGGUGCAGGGGUUAGUGGAGGGCUAAGGAAGAGAUUCCAUGAGUAUGAACCAUAGCAGCCCCAGAGCCAUCCUAGAGCAGCGCCAUCACUGCCUGUGGCCAGCAACAGUUCCACCACGAGCUGUGUGUUGGGUCAAGGCAGCUCCUAGGUGUGGCUCUGCCCCAUAGCUGCCCCAAAGUGCCCCUGUCGCCCUCCCAUAGGCGUCCUUUAACUGCCCCACCACCCCGUAAGGCUUCCCCACGUCCUAGCACAUCCCCCCAGGUGCGUGUGGGGUGUGCAAGAAACGCUCUCAUCCCUGAUAUUCCAUCAGGCACAGCUCUCCAUGCAGCAGCAAAGCUCCUUCCUGAUUGCUGUGGCAUUACUUCACUCUCCUCAGAGAGUUCCUUCUGCUCCCGUUGGGUUGGUUGAGUUGGGUUGGUUGGGUUGAGGUGGGGGCAGGGAUCCCAGAGUUCUGGGGCCACAUGGCAUCGGGUCGCAGCGUGUUGGGGGCAGGAAGGAUCAGGGAGUCACAGGGUCUUGUGGGGGUGUGGUUCACCCAGGGCUGUGGGUCACGUAUAGCCAUGGGGUCACGCACAUGAAGGG
rnacentral:lncRNA from 1 species